GAUGAACGCUGGCGGCGUGCUUAACACAUGCAAGUCGAACGGGAUCCAAGGGGUGCUUGCACUUUUUGGUGAGAGUGGCGAACGGGUGAGUAACACGUGAGUAACCUGUCCUUUUCUUUGGGAUAAGCAUUCGAAAGGGUGUUUAAUACCUUAUGUUCUGUCUGCCUCGCAUGGGGUGGGUGGGAAAGGCUUUGGCCGGAUUUGGGUGGGCUCGCGGUCUAUCAGCUUAUUGGUGGGGUGAUGGCUUACCAAGGCUUUGACGGGUAGCCGGCCUGAGAGGGUGGUCGGUCACAUUGGGACUGAGAUACGGCCCAGACUCCUGCGGGAGGCAGCAGUGGGGGAUAUUGCACAAUGGGCGAAAGCCUGAUGCAGCGACGCCGCGUGGGGGAUGAAGGCCUUCGGGUUGUAAACUUCUUUUGCUCUGAACAAGGCAUGCCAGUGGGUGUGUUGAGUGUAGGGGUUGAUUAGCGCCGGCUAACUACGUG
rnacentral:rRNA from 1 species